GGCAGACUGAACUCCAGACUGACUCUGAGAAGGACGAACAGAAGGUUAUCAUAUUUAAUACCUCUAUCAUGAAGAUGCUGACUGCGUUUCUGCAUGUGUGUCUCAUCAUUGCUGUGACACAAAGUCAUCCUCUUUUUGAGGAAAUUGGGUCAGGUGACUCAAGUAAUGCAGAUGUUGGUUCGCCAGGAGCAACGGGAGACCCACCAUUUGCAACAGAUGUUCCAGAUGAAACAACAACUGUGAUAGCUGACUCAACUACUCAAGAGAGAAUCUAUUAUGACUCAGAGGAAGAUCUAGGAUUUCUGAGAGACAAACCAACUGUGAUAGCUGACUCAACUAAUGAUGAUGGAUACUUUUAUGACUCAGAUGAAGAACUAGGAUAUCCGAGAUGGAGAGAGGAAACAGGCGGGUCUGAUGAUUCAUCUAAUGGAGAUGGAGAAAAUUCUGACACAUCAGAAGAUGCACCAGAUGCAGCAGAGGAAACAGGCGGGUCUGAUGAUUCAUCUAAUGGAGGUGGAGAAAGUACUGACACAUCAGAAGAUGCACCAGAUGCAGCAGAGGAAACAGGCGGGUCUGAUGAUUCAUCUAAUGGAGAUGGAGAAAGUUCUGACACAUCAGAAGAUGCCCCAGUUGCAGCAGAUGCAGAUGAUGCCUGAAACAAAGACACCACCAUAUCAAGACACAUGAAGUUUUUUAAUAAAGAAAAGAGGGACUGCUUGGAUAACAUUGACUGUAAAACUGGAAACCAUAUGCUCCUGCAACAACUCUCUAACUCAUUCGUAAAAAGCACAAUAGCUGAUGUGUCUGUCUUCAUUACUGUUUCUUCCUCUGUAUUUCUGCAUUAUUGCUAUGAUGCAAGCAAUCAAGCAUCAUGUGCAAUAAAUUGGAACUGGAUAUUCACUUUAAAAGUCAGUAUGAUAAAAAGAAUACUUUCUGCACCUUUAUAUUAUAUAUACUGAGCUGCACUUCAU
rnacentral:lncRNA from 1 species